GGAGCUAUAGCUCAGUGGCAGAGCACUUGCCUAGUAUGCAUGAGGCUCUGGGUUCCAUCCUUAGCACCA
rnacentral:tRNA from 1 species